AUUUGUGUGUGCAUGUGCAUGUGUGUGCAUGAGGUUACAUGCACAGAUAAGCCAAAAAUCUUUAUGAGUGUGAAUACACAACUC
rnacentral:miRNA from 1 species